AAGUUUUAAAGAAGUGACAGAGGAUUGGUGCAGACUGGCUUGCUUGAAUGAUUGUUUUUGCGCAGUAGCCACUUUUAGAGAUGGGGAAUGUCAGAAAAAGAAAACUCCUCUGGCAAAUGGAAGAGUUGAUCCUGAAAUUGGAGGGAAGGCCCUACUAAAAGUGAGGAACAACUCUACAGCAUCUAAAAAUUCUGCAAAAGACAAGAAGGAUCAAUCAAUUGUAAUUCGUGUAGUAUCUGUUUUACUUGGUGGCUUCGUCUUCGUAAACUUCCUCUUACUUCUAGUAACCUUAACGUUAAUUUUCCGUUUGAAGAGAAAACAAGCAGAAGUUCAACCACAAAAAGUCAUGCCACCUAUGAAUCUUCUAAGUUUCCCUUGCAGUGAGCUGGAUAAAGCUACAAAUGGAUUCCAGGAAGAACUGGGUUGUGGUGCUUUUGGAACAGUUUACAAAGGAGAGUUAGCAUCUGAACCUACAGAACUAGUUGCAGCUAAGAAAUUAAACAAGAUGGAGAGAGAUGGUGAACAAGAAUUCCAAGCAGAGGUGAGAGCAAUUGGCCGAACAAACCACAAGAAUUUAGUCCAGCUGCUAGGAUUUUGCAAUGAGGGACAGAACCGCCUUUUGGUGUAUGAAUACAUGAGCAAUGGUUCUUUAGCAAAAUUCUUGUUUGCAAAUGCAAGACCCAAUUGGUACCAAAGAAUACAGAUUGCUUUCGGAAUUGCAAGAGGGCUAUUUUACCUGCAUGAAGAAUGUAGCUCCCAAAUCAUUCAUUGCAAUAUCAAACCUCAAAACAUCCUUCUAGAUGACUCCUUUUCAUCAAAAAUCUCAGAUUUUGGAUUAGCAAAGCUUUUGAAGAAAGAUCAAACUCGAACUACUACUGCAAUCCGAGGAACCAAAGGAUAUGUCGACCCUGAAUGGUUCGGAAACAUGCCUAUUACAGUCGAAGUUGACGUUUACAGCUUUGGCAUUUUGUUGCUGGAGCUCAUAUGUUGUCGAAAGAAUUUUGAGCCAAAUGUGAAGGAAGAAGAUCAGAUGAUAUUGGUUGAUUGGGCAUAUGACUGUUUCAUGGAAGGGAAAUUGCAGCUUCUAGUGGAGAAUGAAGAGGCAACGGAUGAAAUUAAAAAGGUAAAGAAAUUUGUGAUGAUUGCAGUAUGGUGCAUUCAGGAGGAUCCAUCUUUGAGACCUACAAUGAAGAAGGUAGUACAGAUGAUGGAAGGGGUCGCUGAGGUCCCUAUUCCUCCAAACCCAGCCUUAUUUCCGAGCUCCAUUUAAAUUUCCUUUGUAGACAAAAUAAAAGCUAGCUAUCGCUGGCCUAGUGCAUAUUUUUAAAGCUCCUUUAGAUAGUUUUGCUAGUUGGAUGAUCAACUAUCUUAAGUAUAUAAUUCCUCAUCUGACCACAUGUGCAUGAAACAUGGUUCCUUUUUCUUCUUCACAAUGUUCAUACCACUGUAGUCUUGACAAGUUUCAUGAUUUUUUUUAAUAGCAAACCUUAAAAUGAGUUCCAGAUUUUUCUAAGUAAUACCAUCACUCGAGAAAUUAAAAUCAGACUGCAAGAACGAUGCCCUGCAGAAUCAAGAAAAAUUCUUUGAUCUUUCUGAUCUUUCAUAUACUAAAUUCAAAGGUUAUAUACUAAAAAUUAGUGUCUCCUAGACAUGCUACUGGAUUCUUAGCCAAAUAAAAGAAUAAUCACGGAAAUAAAAGUUUUAUCUCCACGGAAUGCAUUUCUUUUUAUAGUCAAACAAACCUUCAAUCAAAUUGAAAGGAAAAAAAGAAACAAUUUAACAAGAAAUCUAACUAUUGAGUAAGAGAUAUUAAUUAUGGUCCUCAAAGUUUCACCAUAUUAACUGAUAAAUAUGGGAAGAAAUGUAUUGUUUAUAUAAUUUGUUUAAAAUUAAUUUUAAAAUAAUCAUAUUAGAAACAAAUAUUUAAAGAUGAAAAUUUUAAAAGAUUAAUGCGGGUUUAAUUCGUACCAGCUACUUUUGUUCACUCUGUUUGUAUUUAUGUGCUUUGUAUGCUGGUAAAUGGGAGUCCCGAUGAUGCUUGUUGGUUUCUUUGCGCAGCAGGGAGCUACGUUGGGUACAAACUGCUAUGAUGGACGUUAAGGGUUCAAACGUUGAAGGUGUGCUGCUGAAUGGGUGGCUGCUGAAAUCGCGAAAUGUGUAAUGAGUGGGUUGCGAUGGUAAGAAUUUGCAUUUUUGCAGUUUCAAAACGUGAGCAACCGGCCACAACUUCUCUUUUUCAUUGUUUGAUGUUGGUUUUGAAUUCUAAAUGGAGACUUUCUUCUUGGCCUGAAAAUUAGAGAACAGUAAAGGGUGGGAUUUUUCUUCUGGUUCUGAUGUACAGAUUGUUUGAUCUAUGAGUAUGAUUCUGACAGAAAGGGCUCACUGGGAUAUUUUUGAUUAACCAGGGAGCUGC
rnacentral:lncRNA from 1 species